rnacentral:rRNA from 1 species
GACGAACGCUGGCGGCGUGCUUAACACAUGCAAGUCGAACGGAAAGGCCCUGCGUUUGUGGGUUUCUCGAUUGGCGAACGCGGGAGUAACACGUGAGUAACCUGCCCUUGACUUUGGGAUAACUUCAGGGAACUGGGGCUAAUACCGGAUAGGAGCUCCUGCUGCAUGGUGGGGGUUGGAAAGUGUCGGCGGUUGUGGAUGGACUCGCGGCUUAUCAGCUUGUUGGUGGGGUAGUGACGUACCAGGGCUUUGACGGGUAGGCGGCCUGAGAGGGUGGCCGGCGACAUGGGGACUGCGAUACGCAGCAGUAGCGUACGGGCGGCAGCAGUGGGGAACCUUGCACAACGGGGGGACGCGUGAUGCAGAAACGCCGGGUGCGGGAUGACGGCUUUCGGGUUGUAAACCGCUUUCGAAGGUGACGAAGAGUGCGUGACGGUAAUGGGUCAAGAAGCACCGGCUAACUACGUG